rnacentral:rRNA from 1 species
GAUGAACGCUAGCGGCAGGCUUAAUACAUGCAAGUCGAGGGGUAGCAAGAUUGUAGCAAUACAAUUGUUGACGACCGGCAAACGGGUGCGGAACACGUACACAACCUUCCUACAAGUGGGGAAUAGCCCAGAGAAAUUUGGAUUAAUACCCCGUAACAUAACGAUGUGGCAUCACAUUGCUAUUAUAGCUUCGGCGCUUGUUGAUGGGUGUGCGGCUGAUUAGCUAGUUGGCGGGGUAACGGCCCACCAAGUCUACGAUCAGUAGCUGAUGUGAGAGCAUGAUCAGCCACACGGGCACUGAGACACGGGCCCGACUCCUACGGGAGGCAGCAGUAAGGAAUAUUGGACAAUGGACGCAAGUCUGAUCCAGCCAUGCCGCGUGAAGGAUUAAGGUCCUCUGGAUUGUAAACUUCUUUUAUAAGGGACGAAAAAAGGUCUUUCUAGAUCGUCUGACGGUACCUUAUGAAUAAGCACCGGCUAACUCCGUGCCAGCAGCCGCGGUAAAAC